rnacentral:lncRNA from 1 species
AAAGGGAGAAAUUGGCUGAAACAAAGGGGCUACAGGCCCCAUACAAGUCUGAAAUCCAGCAGGGCAGUCAUUAAAUCUCAAAGCUCCAUAAUAAUCUCCUCUGACUCCAUGUCUCACAUCCAGGCCACACUGAUGCAAGGGGUGGGCAUCCAAGGUCUUAGGAGGCUCUGUGCCUGUGGCUUUGCAGGGUACAGCCCCUUAGAGAUGGGGUUUCACCAUAUUGACCAGGAUGGUCUCGAUCUCUUGACCUCGUGAUCCACCUGCCUCGGCCUCCCAAAGUGCUGGGAUUACAGGCUGGAGCCACCGCGCCCGGCUGCCUUCUUACUAUUAAUUAAAUUAAAAAAAAACUGCUGGCUGGGCUUGGGAUUCACUUCUUUGUACAGGUAUGUGGCCUACCAUGUCUACCUACCAUGUCUCCUCAGCCUGCUAAACUGAGCUUCACCAGCAGCACCUGUCCUCCUAAUUGCCAAAGUCUAAAAAUACCCCUCACUCAACGAUACAGAGCUUCUGUAUUAUGAGCCUUCACAGAGAGUGCAGCUUUCUAUCCAGAGCCUUUCCAAAGUUUGGCUGGCUUUCCAACUAACAGUAUUUACAGAAGAUUGUCUAAGGACUGCAUAAUCUACACACUCAUCAAGGGCUCCCAAGAUCUAUCCUUUGAUGGGAUUGGACAGCCAAAAUGAUAAAUAUUUUGACCUUAUGAAUUCUGCUGUAGGCGAAAUCACCUUCCCCCAACUAAAUGAUAUAAUCUGAUUUUGAUUUAAGGCCAUUCUGAGAAAGGGUUGAGAAUGAAUCAGUCAUUGAAUAAAUGAAAGGACAAUCAAAUUUAAAGAGAAUUAAGUUGGGAAACAGGAAAUGAUAGGUUUUGUUAUUAUAGGUAGCUUUAUUAAAAGUCUAUUAGAAAAAGAACUAAUAAUCCUAGCUUUUUCUCAAUUCUAAUAUAUACUGCACAGGCAAAAUAAAGUACAAUUAGAAGAAAUGCCUCAGCAUUGGUUGGAAAGUUUAAGUACUGCAAAGUACGCAUCCACGGUAGAAUUAUUCUUAAAUUAAGCAUUAUUUCUAUCUUUAAUAGUGCAAGAUGCUAAAACUUCAGAACAAAUGUUCACUACAAAAGGCUUUCUUUGUAUCUAAAAAGGUGAUUUAGUCACUUGUAGAUUAUUUAAAAUUCUGGAUUUUGUAAUAGUAGAUGUAAUGAAAAUAUCAGGCUAGGCUGUCUUUGCAAUUUGGAGCUUCAGAUUGAACAACUGCAUUUUUUAACUAAGUCAUA